rnacentral:rRNA from 1 species
GACGAACGCUGGCGGCGUGCCUAACACAUGCAAGUCGAACGGAAACGCCCUGCCUUUGUGGGGUGCUCGAGUGGCGAACGGGGGAGCAACCCGUGAGUACCCUGUCCCUCACCUUGGGAUAUCCUCAGGCAACUGGGUCUAAUACCGGCUAGGAGCUCUUGCCGCUUGGUGGGGGCUGGUAAGUUUCGGUGGUUGGGGAUGUACUCGCGCCCCAUGAGCUUGUUGGUGGGGUAGUGGCUUACCAAGGCUUUGACGGGUAGCAGGCCUGAGAGGGGGACCGGCCACAUUGGGACUGGGAUACGGCCCAGACUCCUACGGGAGGGAACGGAGGGGAAUAGUGCACAAUAGGCGGGAGCCUGAUGCAGCAACGCCGCGUGCGGGAUGACGGCCUUCGGGUUGUGAACCAAUUUCGCCUGUGACGAAGCGUGAGUGACGGUAAUGGGUAAAGAAGCACCGGCUAACUACGUG